rnacentral:rRNA from 1 species
UGAGGAAUAUUGGUCAAUGGGCGGAAGCCUGAACCAGCCAAGUCGCGUGAGGGAUUAAGGCCCUGCGGGUCGUAAACCUCUUUUGCCGGGGAGCAGAGGUCCGGACGUGUCCGGGCCGGGAGAGUACCCGGAGAAAAAGCAUCGGCUAACUCCGUGCCAGCAGCCGCGGUAAUACGGAGGAUGCGAGCGUUAUCCGGAUUUAUUGGGUUUAAAGGGUGCGUAGGCGGGCAUUUAAGCCGGCGGUCAAAUGUCGGGGCUCAACCCCGGCCUGCCGUCGGAACUGGCAGACUUGAGUUGGCGAGAAGUACGCGGAAUGCGCGGUGUAGCGGUGAAAUGCAUAGAUAUCGCGCAGAACUCCGAUUGCGAAGGCAGCAUGCCGGCUCCACACUGACGCUCAGGCACGAAAGCGUGGGUAUCGAACAGG